rnacentral:rRNA from 1 species
GAUGAACGCUGGCGGCGUGCCUAAUACAUGCAAGUCGAACGAACAGACGCGGAGCUUGCUCCUCUGUCGUUAGCGGCGGACGGGUGUGUAACACGUGGAUAACCUACCUAUCAGACUGGGAUCACUUCGGGAAACCGGCGCUAAUACCGGAUAAUAUAUUGAACCGCAUGGUUCAAUAGUGAAAGACGGUUUUGCUGUCUCUUCUAGAUGCAUACGCGCCGCAUUGGCUAGUUGGGAAGGUAACGGCUUUUCAAGGGUACGAUGCGUAGCCGACGUGAGGGGGUGAUCGGCCACACUGGAGCUGAGACACGGUCCAUGCUCCUACGGGAGGCAGCAGUAGGGAAUCUUCCGCAAUGGGCGAAAGCUUGACGGAGCAACGCCGCGUGAGUGAUGAAGGUCUUCGGAUCGUAAAACUCUGUUAUGAGGGAAGAACAAAUGUGUAAGGAACUAUGCACGUCGUGACGGUACCUAAUCAGAAAGCCACGGCUAACUACGUG